CUAGGUGGCCACACUGGAGGGGGUACACCCGGUUCCAUUCCGAACCCGGAAGUUAAGUCCUCAGAGGCCGAUGAUACUGANACCUGUUGGUUUUGGGAAAGUAGGUAGCUGCCUAGU
rnacentral:rRNA from 1 species